UAUAGUUUUUAUGGGUUAAUGAUGAAUUUUAGAUUUUAUGUUUUUCACAAUUAAUAAUUUUAAUUUCAGAUUAUAUAAUUGAAUUAAAAUAAGGAUUUUAAUUAUUAAAACAUGAAUUUUUAAGGUUUUAAUAGUUUUAAAAUCAUGAUAGAAUGGUUUGAAUUAUUAAAGUUAUUAGUUUUAUGUUCUAAGCAUGAUAAUUUGGUUUUGGGAAAGCUUUAAACGAUUUCAUAUUGCUGAAAAUUUAAAGUAUGAUGUUUGCGAAGAGUUUUCAACGAAUUUCAAUCAGUAAUUUAAUAAUUAUGAUGUUAGGAAAUCAAAUAUUCAAGUUUGGAUAUUGGGGAAGGUUCUAAAUAUGUUUAGCAUGUAUUUAGAAUGCUUUAUUAUAGUUGUGAAUGAUUAGAAAUUGAUUGGGAAUCCUUGUUGGUUGUUUUAGGCGGAGAAUUCUCUUUAGGCGACUUUUGAAAGUGUUAAAGUGGCCUAUUAGUUGUUUAUGCAAGUCUCUAAGGAUCAAUAAGCGUUGCCCAUCUACAGGUUUGAAGAUGAUGCAUUAUUGGGAUCGGGAUUAGAGAGCUUAUAGUUCUAUUUGUUUAAUUAAGUGAUUUAAUUUGUUAACUUAUAUUUGAAAGUUGUCGUACUAUUCGUAUUUCUUUAUUUCCGUUAAUUGGUUUUGGACUUAAUAUGUAAUCAAUUAUUUAUGAACCUAAAAGUUAGUUUUAUGUUUUCC